rnacentral:lncRNA from 1 species
CUGCUUAAGGCCUGGCAGCCGGCGGAACCCGGACCAGGUCCCUUCUCUGGAGUUCUGUCCUCCUUUCACCGGAAGCCCGGUCCCGCCCUGAAGACAAACCUCUUCUAGCCGCGGGCGUCUGUAGGCAACCAGCCUGCCCCGAGAGACACCCCCACCCUACUGGACCUGACAUUAUCCCUCCCUAUCCCGGCAGCCUGCCUGGAAGCUCCCCGUCGCCCCCACUACCCAGUGUCUGAUCCCUAGACCAGGUCCCCCUUCGUUGUAAAACAAGCCAGGGCCACUCUCGUCUGGAGUACUAAUCACCAGGACCCCCCUCCAGGGCAGCCGGAAGCCCUUUCUUGCUAGGCUUCCUUAGGAGCAGGGAUCAAAUUGCACCUGUCCCUAACUCAGAGCCCAGUCAUAGAGGCUCUAAGAAGCCGAGCUCCUACGACUUUUCAGCUAGCUGGGCCACUCACUCCUUGAAAUCAAGCAACCUGAAGAGUCCCACCGCUAAUCCCACCCUAACGAGUCACCU